rnacentral:rRNA from 1 species
ACACCUAGGAGGAUCCUGAGUACGGCGGAACACGAGAAAUUCCGUCGGAAUCCGGGAGGACCAUCUCCCAAGGCUAAAUACUCCCUAGUGACCGAUAGUGAACCAGUACCGUGAGGGAAAGGUGAAAAGCACCCCGGAAGGGGAGUGAAAUAGAACCUGAAACCGUGUGCCUACAACAAGUCAAAGCCCGUUAAUGGGUGAUGGCGUGCCUUUUGUAGAAUGAACCGGCGAGUUACGAUUGCAUGCGAGGUUAAGUUGAAGAGACGGAGCCGCAGCGAAAGCGAGUCUGAAUAGGGCGUUUGAGUAUGUAGUCGUAGACCCGAAACCAUGUGAUCUACCCAUGUCCAGGUUGAAGGUGCGGUAAAACGCACUGGAGGACCGAACCCACGUACGUUGAAAAGUGCGGGGAUGAGGUGUGGGUAGCGGAGAAAUUCCAAACGAACUUGGAGAUAGCUGGUUCUCUCCGAAAUAGCUUUAGGGCUAGCCUCGGAAUUGAGAAUGAUGGAGGUAGAGCACUGUUUGGACUAGGGGCCCAUCUCGGGUUACCGAAUUCAGAUAAACUCCGAAUGCCAUUCAUUCAUAUCCGGGAGUCAGACUGUGAGUGAUAAGAUCCAUAGUCGAAAGGGAAACAGCCCAGACCACCAGCUAAGGUCCCAAAAUAUAUGUUAAGUGGAAAAGGAUGUGGGGUUGCACAGACAACUAGG